AUCCUGUGAUCUUCACCCUUCUAUAUUCCCAGUCGAGUUUCUUGAAACGGAUAGCUUUUUCGUGAAUGGUUGGGAGGGAGAGCGAGCGAGAAGUCAGAUAGUUCUUCCAUUUUUAUUCUCCUGUGUUCGCCUCUUUCUUCUCAAUUUUUUUGAACGGCUGAGAGAGAGGAACAUUGGAGAAGAAGAGGUAAUGGCAAGGAAUUCUCCACCCGCGGAUUCUAGAGAAUGCGGCCCCUUUGUUGCUCAGAUCGGACCGCUGCUUCCGAGGCCAAGACCGAUGUCACUCCUCCGAUCGCCGGCUGAUAUGCCUAGGGCUUCGUUCUCUUUGUGGAGCAUAUACAAGAAGCAGAACCAGAAAUUUCUUUUAUGAUUUCCCAGCACCAUGCUCAUACCUAUCCAGAGAACAAUAACGCAGCACCAGUGAAAUUUUCAAGGAUGCUUUGGUGAAACGUCUUGGAUUUUGAAGUUAGAGAAAGGUACUAUUGUGAUUACCGCGAUACCUAUUUGACCCACGAUCCUGCAAAUGUGAGGUUGUACUGCCAGCAAUUUGAAGAGCAACAAACCCAAAGAACAUCUUGGGCAAGCUACAACUAUUCAGCAGGUGAGUGCUUCAACCUCUCAGUUCAUCAAUUUUCUUCAUUUUUCAUGUAUGUGCUCGAGAAAAUGAUUCUCCGGAUUACUCCUUAAUCUGUGGUUUUGGAGAUUGAUUUGCAUGUGAAUAGUUAGUUUUCUUCUCUGAUUAAAAACCAAAUUUGCUUGGAUUAUUGCGAUUUGGAUUCAAAAGCAAAAGGGAAUAAUGAAAACAUAGGUUGCUGACUUGGUUUGCUUUCUGUUAUAAACUGUUAAAUAAAUAGCAUGCUGUCUUAGGUAUGUUUCCAAUUAAUUGGUGCUAUUCUUAGGAGUAUGACCAUAUUACUUAAAACUGAGAACAUUUAUCUUGGUUAUAGUUUUUGCAUCGUAGAUAUUGAUUAUGAAGGAGAUUGACUCUUUUUAUCAUAUUUCUCCGGCAGUAGUGGAAAAUGAAAAUCCUUUGAAA